rnacentral:guide_RNA from 1 species
AAGAUAAGAGAGUGAGAAUAUCGUUAAUUUA